UAGUUUGUUUUUGACGUGAAGAUGGAGAAUCAACAACGUCAAGGCACGUCUUCCGUCUUCCUUCAACCACUUCCAUCUAAAUCAGGCAGUAUAGAUUUUGAAAUGAAAAAUGGUCGAUAAAAGAAGAUAAAAGUUGAAAAAGUAGUUGAUCCUAAUGAACCUAAGUUCCCCCUCUAAACUAACUCCUUAUAAUCAAAUCUGCCUCGCUGAAUCUUCAAAUUGAUGAGUAAAAACAAAUGAUAAAAGGAGAUCCCUAGGAAUUUAAAAACGACCAGCGUCGAAGCAGGGAUCUUUGUUUUGAAAAAUGACUACUAGUUGGUGGAAGGAGGAAAGACGGAUAAAUGUUAGUUCGGGGUCCGCUAUAUUUAGCGAUAUGCAAGCCAGUAUGCCAAAAAAAUAGUUGAUUUUACACUUGUUUGCAGAAAAUGUUAGUUCUUUCAGAUAUUCUUGUUUACUGAAUUGCAUAAAAUAUACUAUGUUUACUCAGACAUCUAAAUUGGUCUUCUCUUAUUUUCUUACUCACGAUUACCACUUCAGCAAAUGGCUUCGUAAUGAAUCUACACGUGCAGAUGCUAUGUUUGCUUUGUAAUUCGUUGUCCAAUAAACUGAAACAUGUUUAUAUUUGCUUUAUAUUUACAAAAUCAGGUAAAUGUUGUAAACUGUAUCUACAUGUCUAUAUAUUCAAAUCAAAAGAUUAUUACCAAGUAACUUAGCCAUUGUACAAAGCAUUCAAUAAAUAAAUAUAUCCGGAAGAUUCAACUUGGUGAUUUUUUCGCGGAUUUACAUUGUAGUAUAUAAACAACUUGUUAUUUAAUAAUACAAA